GAUGAACGCUGACAGAAUGCUUAACACAUGCAAGUCGAUUCAAUUUACCUUCGGGUAUUGAGGAUGGCGGACGGGUGAGUAACGCGUAAGGAACUUGCCUCUUGGUCUGGGACAACUGUUGGAAACGACAGCUAAUACCGGAUAUUAUGAGAUUCUCGCAUGGGAAACUUAUGAAAGCUAUAUGCGCCAAGAGAGAGCCUUGCGUUCCAUUAGCUAGUUGGUGGGGUAACGGCCCACCAAGGCGACGAUGGAUAGCCGGCCUGAGAGGGUGAACGGCCACAAGGGGACUGAGACACGGCCCUUACUCCUACGGGAGGCAGCAGUGGGGAAUAUUGGACAAUGGGCCACAAGCCUGAUCCAGCAAUUCUGUGUGCACGAUGAAGGUCUUCGGAUUGUAAAGUGCUUUCAGUUGGGAAGAAGAAAGUGACGGUACCAACAGAAGAAGCGACGGCUAAAUACGUGCCAGCAGCCGCGGUAAUACGUAUGUCGCAAGCGUUAUCCGGAUUUAUUGGGCGUAAAGCGCGUCUAGGCGGAAAAAUAAGUCUGAUGUUAAAAUGCGGGGCUCAACUCCGUAUUGCGUUGGAAACUGUUUUUCUAGAGUACUGGAGAGGUGGGCGGAACUACAAGUGUAGAGGUGAAAUUCGUANAUAUUUGUAGGAAUGCCGAUGGAGAAGUCAGCUCACUGGACAGAUACUGACGCUAAAGCGCGAAAGCGUGGGGNGCAAACAGGAUUAGAUACCCUGGUAGUCCACGCC
rnacentral:rRNA from 1 species